rnacentral:rRNA from 1 species
GACGAACGCUGGCGGCGUGCUUAACACAUGCAAGUCGAACGGAAAGGCCCUGCUUGCAGGGUACUCGAGUGGCGAACGGGUGAGUAACACGUGGGUGAUCUGCCCUGCACUUCGGGAUAAGCCUGGGAAACUGGGUCUAAUACCGGAUAGGAGCCAUUUUUAGUGUGAUGGUUGGAAAGUUUUUUCGGUGUAGGAUGAUCUCGCGGGCUAUCAGCGGGUUGGUGGGGUAAUGGCCUACCAAGGCGGCGACGGGUAGCCGGCCUGAGAGGGUGGACGGCCACACCGGGACUGUGCUACGGCCCACACUCCUACGGGAGGCAGAAGUGGGGAAAAUCGCACAAUGGGAGAAAGCCUGAUGCAACGACGCCGCGUGGGUGAUGAGGGCCUUCGGGUUGUAAACUCCUUUCGAGAGGGACGAAGCGUUUUGCGACGGUACCUAGAAAAGAAGGACCGGCUAACUACGUG